rnacentral:rRNA from 1 species
AACGAACGCUGGCGGCAGGCCUAAACAUGCAAGUCGAGCGCCCAGCAAUGGGAGCGGCGGACGGGUGAGUAACACGUGGGAAUGUACCUUUCGGUGCGGAACAACUCAGGGAAACUUGAGCUAAUGCCGCAUACGCCUUACGGGAAGGAUUAUCGCCGAAAGAUCAGCCCGCGUUGGAUUAGCUUGUUGGUGAGGUAAUGGCUCACCAAGGCGACGAUCCAUAGCUGGUGUAGAGAACGACCAGCCACACUGGGAC